AACCCGUGAUGUGGACAGUCUCUCUGAUAUCCCUUGAACCUCUCCAACGCAGCUUUGAAAGUUUCAGUCGGACCCUGAACAAACGUGGAGAUCUUAGCAUGGAGAUC
rfam:Arabis alpina cultivar Pajares chromosome 4, whole genome shotgun sequence.